GGGGGAUUGAAUCAAGGGGAUUGAGGUUGGUUGGUGAGCCGAGUGUAAAACCAACGUGUGUAAGGGUUUGAUUGUGAUCCCGGGAAAACAAUCGGGGCGGUUCUAGUCGGUGAGCCUGGGAAAACCGACCGAGUUCGUUGUGAGCUCGUAAAACAAUAAGUUUGGUUGUGAGCUUGGAAAACAACCGGCUGUAAUCCAAGGGGGUUAUAGUGAAUUCCCAAGUGAGACUUGGGGAGUGGACGUAGGAGCAAGGGUUAGCUCCGAACCACUAUAAAAC
rnacentral:lncRNA from 1 species